UACGUAGGGUGCAAGCGUUGUCCGGAAUUAUUGGGCGUAAAGAGCUCGUAGGCGGUUUGUUGCGUCGGCUGUGAAAACCUGAGGCUCAACCUCAGGCCUGCAGUCGAUACGAGCAGACUAGAGUGUUGCAGGGGAGACUGGAAUUCCUGGUGUAGCGGUGAAAUGCGCAGAUAUCAGGAGGAACCCCGGUGGCGAAGGCGGGUCUCUGGGCAACCACUGACGCUGAGGAGCGAAAGCGUUGGGAGCGAACAGG
rnacentral:rRNA from 1 species